rnacentral:tRNA from 1 species
GCCCCCUUAGCUCAGGGGAUAGAGCAUCUGCCUUCUAAGCAGAGGGCCGCGUGUUCGAAUCACGCAGGGGGCGCCA